rnacentral:rRNA from 1 species
UACGUAGGGACCGAGCGUUGUCCGGAAUCAUUGGGCGUAAAGAGCGUGUAGGCGGCCUUUUAAGUCCUGCGUGAAAUCCUGCGGCUCAACCGCAGACGGUCGUGGGAAACUGGAAGGCUAGAGUGCGGGAGAGGAGAGUGGGAAUUCCCGGUGUAGCGGUGAAAUGCGCAGAUAUCGGGAAGAACACCCGUGGCGAAGGCGGCUCUCUGGAACGCAACUGACGCUGAGACGCGAAAGCGUGGGGAGCAAACAGGG